UCCCGGUGCUUUUGCAUACAGGACAAUGUGGUGUUAAAGCUAGUACCUGAACCUGCAAGUCUACCCGAAGUCCAACUCCGAUUGUGGCUUUGGAUUGUGCCCAUAGCGGGUGAUAGGCCCGUACGGGUAGACUGUGUGAAUUAGCAGGUUUCAGAUGUGCUUGCUUUCGAGUCGGAUUGCUUGAGAAUGCAGUCCAAAGUGGGUGGUAAACUCCAUCCAAGGCUAAAUACUGGCACGAGUCCGAUAGUAGACAAGUACCGUGAGGGAAAGUUGAAAAGUACUCUGAAGAGAGAGUAAAUAGUACGUGAAGCCGGUUGCAGGGAAGCUGGUGGAGUCAAGCUUCAUGCUUGAAAGAUUUGUGCCUGUGGCAUUGUGUUGUUAUAUUAUGGGCCUAUAUCAGCUUUGAAUAAGUUGGACGCAUUCGUGUGUUUCAAGUCAUUCUGGGGGGUUGUGUGUUUGUAUUGGGCUUCAUAAAUUAGUCACAGGCACUCUAUCUUUCGCUGCAUAAAUCACAGUCGGUAGCAUUAUUUUGCUAUGGCCUGUUUGGUUGUCUAACUGUGCUUUGAUAGGCUUAAUUGUUUAUCGGGUGCAGGAUGGCAGGUGGAGAAUAUGGGUUUCGUGCCUAUACUCUCUUAUUGUGGUAUUGACCGGCUGAUGACCAAAUAGUCUCAUUGUUGCCGUUUAACCAUGGUAUGUUGCUCAAAAGGCAGUGUAUCAUUAAUAACUGUGAUUCUGAGGUAGACCUUCCACCAGAC
rnacentral:rRNA from 1 species